rnacentral:rRNA from 1 species
GUGGGGAAUAUUGGGCAAUGGGCGCAAGCCUGACCCAGCAACGCCGCGUGAAGGAAGAAGGCUUUCGGGUUGUAAACUUCUUUUACCAGGGACGAAACAAAUGACGGUACCUGGUGAAUAAGCCACGGCUAACUACGUGCCAGCAGCCGCGGUAAUACGUAGGUGGCGAGCGUUAUCUGGAUUUAUUGGGUGUAAAGGGCGUGUAGGCGGGACAGCAAGUCAGAUGUGAAAACCAGAGGCUCAACCUCUGGCCUGCAUUUGAAACUGUUGUUCUUGAGUGUCGGAGAGGUAAUCGGAAUUCCGUGUGUAGCGGUGAAAUGCGUAGAUAUACGGAGGAACACCAGUGGCGAAGGCGGAUUACUGGACGAUAACUGACGCUGAGGCGCGAAAGCGUGGGGAGCAAACAGGAUUAGAUACCCUAGUAGUCC